rnacentral:rRNA from 1 species
AACGAACGCUGGCGGCAUGCCUAACACAUGCAAGUCGAACGAAGUCUUCGGACUUAGUGGCGCACGGGUGCGUAACGCGUGGGAAUCUGCCCUUGGGUGCGGAAUAACUUCUCGAAAGGGAUGCUAAUACCGCAUAAUGUCGUAAGACCAAAGAUUUAUCGCCCAAGGAUGAGCCCGCGUAAGAUUAGCUAGUUGGGUGGGGUAAAAGCCUACCAAGGCGACGAUCUUUAGCUGGUCUGAGAGGAUGAUCAGCCACACUGGGACUGAGACACGGCCCAGACUCCUACGGGAGGCAGCAGUGGGGAAUAUUGGACAAUGGGCGAAAGCCUGAUCCAGCAAUGCCGCGUGAGUGAUGAAGGCCCUAGGGUUGUAAAGCUCUUUUACCAGGGAUGAUAAUGACAGUACCUGGAGAAUAAGCUCCGGCUAACUCCGUGCCAGCAGCCGCGGUAAU